rnacentral:tRNA from 1 species
GAGGGGAGGCUAACCAACAAGAACUGCUAAUCCUUGCAUCCGAGUAUAAAACCUCGGUCCCCUUA